GACGUAGGGCGCGAGCGUUGUCCGGAUUUAUUGGGCGUAAAGAGCUCGUAGGCGGCUUGUCGCGUCGAAUGUGAAAUCCUGCGGCUCAACUGCAGGCUUGCAUUCGAUACGGGCAGGCUCGAGUUCGGUAGGGGAGACUGGAAUUCCUGGUGUAGCGGUGGAAUGCGCAGAUAUCAGGAGGAACACCGAUGGCGAAGGCAGGUCACUGGGCCGCAACUGACGCUGAGGAGCGAAAGCAUGGGGAGCGAACAGG
rnacentral:rRNA from 1 species